rnacentral:rRNA from 1 species
CUGGUUGAUCCUGCCAGUAGUCAUAUGCUUGUCUCAAAGACUAAGCCAUGCAUGUCUAAGUAUAAGUGUUAUACAGCGAAACUGCGAAUGGCUCAUUAAAACAGUUAUAGUUUAUUUGAUAAUCGAAUUUACAUGGAUAACCGUGGUAAUUCUAGAGCUAAUACAUGCUGGUAUGCCCGACUUUUGCGGAAGGGCGGUAUUUAUUAGAUAACAAGCCAAUAUUCCUCUGGUCUAUUGUGGUGACUCAUAAUAACUGAUCGAAUCGCAAGGCCUUUGGCCGCGAUAAAUCAUUCAAGUUUCUGCCCCAUCAGCUUUCGAUGGUAGUGUAUUGGACUACCAUGGCGUUUACGGGUAACGGAGGAUUAGGGUUCGAUUCCGGAGAGGGAGCCUGAGAAACGGCUACCACAUCUAAGGAAGGCAGCAGGCGCGUAAAUUACCCAAUCCUGACUCAGGGAGGUAGUGACAAGAAAUAACGGACCGGUUCCUUCGGAUUCGGGAUUGCAAUGAGCCGAAUUUACACCCCUUAGCGAGGAUCGAUUGGAGGGCAAGUCUGGU